GAGACACUCGUCACAGUCGUCGGAGAAUCCAGUGUCAUCGAGCCGCAUGACAGAGACAGAGCUGGGGUUGCCAGGGCUAAACAUUCAUUAGCCGUGUCAGUCACCAGUGACAACACAAGUCACAGUUCAACUGUUCUUUCAAUACAAAUACAAACGCCCAUAGCCUGACGGGGAUUUCUUUAAAAAUUCGCUUGGCGUUCAACAUAUUAAAACAGUUUCGAAAAGCUUCCUAUAUAUAAUACGCUAAUCUACUCUACCGUUACAAUACUUCGAAUACAAUACUGCGAAAUAAAUAUAAAGAAAAUUUGAGGAAGGAGAUAAAGAAGAAGACUAAAAAAAGGCACAGAAAUAGAAAGAAAGCUGUUCUGGAGGUUGGUAUCGGUCAUGGU